GAUGAACGCUGGCGGCGUGCCUAAUACAUGCAAGUCGAGCGAACAUACGAGGAGCUUGCUCCUCUGACGUUAGCGGCGGACGGGUGAGUAACACGUGGAUAACCUACCUAUAAGACUGGGAUAACUUCGGGAAACCGGAGCUAAUACCGGAUAAUAUAUUGAACCGCAUGGUUCAAUAGUGAAAGACGGUUUUGCUGUCACUUAUAGAUGGAUCCGCGCCGCAUUAGCUAGUUGGUAAGGUAACGGCUUACCAAGGCAACGAUGCGUAGCCGACCUGAGAGGGUGGUCGGCCGCACUGGAAGUGAGACACGGUCCAGACUCCUACGGGAGGAAGCAGUAGGGAAUCUUACGCAAUGGGCGAAAGCCUGACGGAGCAACGCCGCGUGAGUGAUGAAGGUCUUCGGAUCGUAGAACUCUGUUAUUAGGGAAGAACAAAUGUGUAAGUAACUAUGCACGUCUUGACGGUACCUAAUCAGAAAGCCACGGCUAACUACGUG
rnacentral:rRNA from 1 species